rnacentral:rRNA from 1 species
GACGAACGCUGGCGGCGUGCUUAACACAUGCAAGUCGAACGGAAAGGCCCUUCUUUCCGGGUACUCGCGUGUCGAACGGGUGAGUAACACGUGUGUGAUCUUCUCUUCACUUCGGGGUAAGCCUGGCAAACUGGGUCUAAUUCCCGCUUGCGGCCAUUUUUUGUGUGCUGGUUGGCAUGUUUUUUCGGUGUAGAAUGAGCUCGCGUCCUAUCGGCUUUUUUUUGUGGUAAUGGCCUACCCAGGCGGCGACGGGUAGCCGGACUGAGAGGGUGAGCGGCGACAUUGGGACUGAGAGAAGGCACAGAUGCCGAAGGGAGGAAGAAGGGGGGAAGACUGAACAAGGGGCGCAAGGCUGAUGAAGAGAGGCUGCGUGGGGGAUGACAGCCUUGGGGUUGUAAAAUCCUUUGGCUAGGGAAGAAGCGGUUUGUGACGGUACCUAGAUAAGAAGCACCGGCUAACUACGUG